rnacentral:rRNA from 1 species
AGUAAAAGUCGUAACAAGGUCUCCGUUGGUGAACCAGCGGAGGGAUCAUUACAAAAAGAGUGAAAACUCGCCAACCCUCUGUGAACAUACCUAAAUAGUUGCUUCGGCGGGCAGCCCCAGGGCGGGGCCGCCGCCUCCCCUCGGGGGAGGUGCCCGCCAGAGGCCAACCAAACUCUUGCUUUCAGCGGCCCUCUGAGUUACAAAACAAAAUAAAUUAAAACUUUCAACAACGGAUCUCUUGGCUUUGGCAUCGAUGAAGAACGCAGCGAAAUGCGAUAAGUAAUGUGAAUUGCAGAAUUCAGCGAAUCAUCGAAUCUUUGAACGCACAUUGCACCUAUUAGCAUUCUAGUAGGUAUGCCUGUCCGAGCGUCAUUUCAACCCUCAGGAGGCUCCGGCCGACUGGUGUUGGGGCUCCCGCGGCCGCUGGUCGCGGGCCCCGAAAGUCAUCGGCGGUGUCUGCCAGCACUCCGGGCGCAGUAGCAAUCCUCGCCCAGGACGUCUGGCGGAGCGCCGGCCGCUAAGCAGCCCCCGCGGCACAUCACAAGGUUGACCUCGGAUCAGGUAGGAAUACCCGCUGAACUUAAGCAUAUCAAUAAGCGGAGGAAAAGAAACCAACAGGGAUUGCCCCAGUAACG